rnacentral:rRNA from 1 species
GCGGUGGAUGAUGUGGUUUAAUUCGAUGCAACGCGAAAACCUUACCCACCUUUGACAUGUACGGAAUCCUUUAGAGAUAGAGGAGUGCUCGAAAGAGAGCCGUAACACAGGUGCUGCAUGGCUGUCGUCAGCUCGUGUCGUGAGAUGUUGGGUUAAGUCCCGCAACGAGCGCAACCCUUGUCAUUAGUUGCUACGAAAGGGCACUCUAAUGAGACUGCCGGUGACAAACCGGAGGAAGGUGGGGAUGACGUCAAGUCCUCAUGGCCCUUAUAGGUGGGGCUACACACGUCAUACAAUGGCUGGUACAAAGGGUUGCCAACCCGCGAGGGGGAGCCAAUCCCAUAAAGCCAGUCGUAGUCCGGAUCGCAGUCUGCAACUCGACUGCGUGAAGUCGGAAUCGCUAGUAAUCGUGGAUCAGCAUGUCACGGUGAAUACGUUCCCGGGUCUU